ACAACAAUCCUGCAGGAAUCUGCAACAUGCACCGAGAAUUAAAGCAUUUCGUUGCCGAUAAUAAAGCUAUUUUAUGCUCGCGGGCAUGGAGAACUGGAGUCUUGUAUCCCUUUGUGUUUUGCUCGGUCUUACGGCGAGAUGGGCUGUAUCCUUGAACUCGUAUUCAGGGGCUGGCAAACCACCUAUGUAAGGGGCCUACGAAACUCAACGGCACUGGCAAGAAGUGACAUAUAAUCUGCCUGUUUAUGAAUGAGCCAAGCUGAUAAACCCAGAGUGGGUGGAACUGCACACGUCUCAAGGUUAUGACAGCUUAGCCCAUAAGAUGUUUAUGAGAGCCACAGCUAAGACUACUGAAGGACAGGUAUCAAACAGCUGUUAACCCCCCUGUGUGGUUUUCAAGAUCACCAGCUACUAUACAUUUUACAUAAAAGCUCUAUAGGUGAUUAUUUGUUUACUGGGUCAUCCCAAUUGGCUCAUUCAUCCCCCUCCUCUCCCCUGUAACUAUUCCCCA